rnacentral:rRNA from 1 species
UGAGGAAUAUUGGUCAAUGGCCGGAAGGCUGAACCAGCCAAGCCGCGUGAAGGACGAAGGUGCCAAGCAUUGUAAACUUCUUUUGUCAAGGGACAAAAUCAGGCUCGAGAGCCUGACCGAGGGUACUUGAAGAAAAAGCAUCGGCUAACUCCGUGCCAGCAGCCGCGGUAAUACGGAGGAUGCGAGCGUUAUCCGGAUUUAUUGGGUUUAAAGGGUGCGUAGGCGGGCUGUUAAGUCAGCGGUAAAAGCCCGGGGCUCAACCCCGGCGAGCCGUUGAAACUGGCUGUCUUGAGAUGUCGAGAG